GCCCUCCAGGUUCCUGACCCAUCAGACAGAAACACAAAUCUGAGUGCUUAAAAAAGGAAGAAAAGUAGAAGUAGAACGAACUUCAAGUCUUUUGUGACCUACCAGCUAGGGUCAAACAAAC
rnacentral:snoRNA from 1 species